GCAUCGGUAGUUCAAUGGCGAGAAUGCCACGCGGGCGGCUCGGGUUCGAUUCCUGGCCGAUGCA